CAGCCGCAGCCGACAACACCCAUAACGCACCGCCUUCCGAUCGCGGAUCUCUGUUAGCCAAUCGAAAAAAGUUAUCCAUGGAUAGAAAAUGUACCGGAUGAACCGAAUCCACGAUAGCUCAAACGGGAAGACAAUACGAUCGCAGUCCGGCGACGAUAAUCGUGGCAUCAACAGCAAAGAUAAGAAAUAUGUACGGACCAAACAUGCCAGCGAAAAUUACAAUGACGAUGAUCCGGGAAGAUAAUAAUACUGCGCGCCCGAAGAAAUGUAAAGAUUUGAUUUUUACCCGCUGGAUUUUGGUUCCCCGGAGUUUCCAGGAUGUUAUUCGAACGGAACCAAUACCAUACGCAACUGAUAUGAAUGAAAACAAGACGGACAACCCUUGAGCAAAAUGCGAAUUGUCGAAAUCAUUUCGUAACAUCUGGUGAUUUAUGAUGUAGAUUUGUAAGGUCAUCUGGGGCAAAGCUUCCAUGAAGGAUUCGAUGAAGCAGAAGCGUUUCGUCAGAUAAAUGCUAUUCUCCCAAAAUAUGUAAUCUUUGCGUUCCUCUCUGGAAGUGGUCGGCUGUCUAAUCGUGGUUGCGGUAUGGCUGCCGCGGUAAAAGAGGACCAAACUGAAGAAAAUGUCCGAUGAAUAUCCACGUUUCAACCUUCUUGAAAGCCUACUCAAUAUCUUUUGCGAGAUGCUGAUUGGUCCAUGCUCUUCGGAAUGUACAGGAAGGUAAAGGUCAUCCAGAGGGAUUUGUUUGUUGCCACUGUCAAGCGGUCGCGACGAAGUCCCGUUAAUAUUUUGAAGAGAUUCAAUUCGCUGUACACUUUGAGAGCCAGCAGGUAGGAAAGUUGAUGUCAGUAUUCGUUCGUUGUUAACUCGGCUGAACAUUGGGAAGAACGUGAUAAAAAGCAAUUAGGGAAGCCCGGUUGGUUAGCACCGUUUGCGCAAUGAUAAAUUAAUAAUUCUAAAUGCAUAGUACAGAUGCAUCAGGUCUGCAUUUUUACAAACUUUUUGCGGAUUACUGCCAGAGUGCCCGUACCGUUUAUGAAGUAUGUACUCUGUCAAGCGGAUCAAGCCUUUAAUGCUGUCACCCAAAUUAAUCGUCGUCCUCCUGUAUUUGAGCUUCGUAAAC